GACGAAGGAUGCAAGCGUUAUCCGGAUUCAUUGGGUUUAAAGGGAGCGUAGGCGGAUUGGUAAGUCAGUGGUGAAAUCUUUGGGCUUAACCCAGAAACUGCCAUUGAUACUGCUGAUCUAGAGUACAGUUGCCGUUGGCGGAAUAUGACAUGUAGUGGUGAAAUACUUAGAUAUGUCAUAGAACACCGAUUGCGAAGGCAGCUAACGAAGCUGUAACUGACGCUGAGGCUCGAAAGCGUGGGGAGCAAACAGG
rnacentral:rRNA from 1 species